rnacentral:rRNA from 1 species
AGUGAACGCUGGCGGUAGGCCUAACACAUGCAAGUCGAACGGCAGCACAGUAAGAGCUUGCUCUUACGGGUGGCGAGUGGCGGACGGGUGAGGAAUACAUCGGAAUCUACUUUUUCGUGGGGGAUAACGUAGGGAAACUUACGCUAAUACCGCAUACGACCUACGGGUGAAAGCAGGGGAUCUUCGGACCUUGCGCGAUUGAAUGAGCCGAUGUCGGCUUAGCUAGUUGGCGGGGUAAAGGCCCACAAAGGCGACGAUCCGUAGCUGGUCUGAGAGGAUGAUCAGCCACACUGUAACAGAGACACGGUCCAGACACCGACGGGAGGCAGCAGUGGGGAAUAUUGGACAAUGGGCGAAAGCCUGAUCCAGCCAUACCGGGUGGGUGAAGAAGGCGUUCGGGUUGUAAAGCCCUUUUGUUGGGAAAGAAAAGCAGCAGGUUAAUACCCCGCUGUUCUGACGGUACCCAAAGAAUAAGCACCGGCUAACUUCGUG